AUUGAACGCUGGCGGCAGGCCUAAAACAUGCAAGUCGAACGAGUGGCGGACGGGUGAGUAAUGUCUGGGAAACUGCCUGAUGGAGGGGGAUAACUACUGGAAAAGGUAGCUAAUACCGCAUACCAUCAGAUGUGCCCAGAUGGGAUUAGCUAGUUGGUGGGGUAACGGCUCACCAAGGAGACGAUCCCUAGAUGGUCUGAGAGGAUGAACAGCCAAACUGGAACUGAUGCACGGUCCAGACUCCGACGGGAGGCAGCAGUUGGGAAUAUUGCACAAUGGGCGCAAGCCUGAUUCAGCCCUGCCGCGUGUAUGAAGAAGGCCUUCGGGUUGUAAAGUACUUUCAGCGGGGAGGCGUUACCCGCAGAAGAAGCACCGGCUAACUCCGUGCCAGCAGCCGCGGUAAUUC
rnacentral:rRNA from 1 species